CCUACGGGCGGCAGCAGUGAGGAAUAUUGGUCAAUGGACGAGAGUCUGAACCAGCCAAGUAGCGUGAAGGAUGACUGCCCUAUGGGUUGUAAACUUCUUUUAUAAAGGAAUAAAACGAGGCACGUGUGCUUUUUUGUAUGUACCUUAUGAAUAAGGAUCGGCUAACUCCGUGCCAGCAGCCGCGGUAAUACGGAGGAUCCGAGCGUUAUCCGGAUUUAUUGGGUUUAAAGGGAGCGUAGAUGGGUUGUUAAGUCAGUUGUGAAAGUUUGCGGCUCAACCGUAAAAUUGCAAUUGAUACUGGCAGUCUUGAGUACAGUUGAGGUAGGCGGAAUUCGUGGUGUAGCGGUGAAAUGCUUAGAUAUCACGAAGAACCCCGAUUGCGAAGGCAGCUUACUAAGCUAUGACUGACAUUGAUGCUCGAAAGUGUGGGUAUCAAACAGGAUUAGAUACCCUUGUAGUC
rnacentral:rRNA from 1 species